rnacentral:rRNA from 1 species
GUAGGUGGCAAGCGUUGUCCGGAAUUAUUGGGCGUAAAGCGCGCGCAGGUGGGUUCUUUAAGUCUGAUGUGAAAGCCCCCGGGCUCAACCGGGGAGGGUCAUUGGAAACUGGGGAACUUGAGUGCAGGAGAGGAAAGUGGAAUUCCACGUGUAGCGGUGAAAUGCGUAGGUAUGUGGAGGAACACCAGUGGCGAAGGCGACUUUCUGGCCUGUAACUGACACUGAGGCGCGAAAGCGUGGGGAGCAAACAGGAUUAGAUACCCUGGUAGUCCACGCCGUAAACGAUGAGUGCUAAGUGUUGGGGGGUUUCCGCCCCUCAGUGCUGCAGCUAACGCAUUAAGCACUCCGCCUGGGGAGUACGGUCGCAAAGACUG